rnacentral:misc_RNA from 1 species
AACUUUUAGCAAUGGAUCACUUGGCUUUUGCAUCGAUGAAGAACGCCGCGAAAUGCGAAACGUAAUGUGAAUUGCAGAAUUCAGUGAAUCAUCGAAUCUUUGAACGCAUCUUGCGCCCCUUGGUAUUCCGAGGGGCAUGCCUGUUUGAGAGUCAUGAAUACCCUCAAUUCAUAUUUUUGUGAAUUGGACUUGGACGCCUGUCGUAGUGACUCGUCCUAAAUAGAUGAGUGGUUUCAUUUGGGUGACCCAAUGUGAUAAUUCGUUUAAGCAUUGUUUGAACCUCGAGAGUGACCGCUUCCAACCGUCCUUUGGGACACUUUCAUGUCGUCUGACCUCAAAUCAGGUAGGACUACCCGCUGAACUUAAGCAUAUCAAUAAGCGGAGGCU